AAGGAGCCAUAAUUUAACUGGCACUGUAGACCCAGAGAUCUGUGAUUUCUAAUGCAGCCUCGAUCCCGCUGCAUGGUGCCUCUCUAAAUGAACAGAACUCUUAGAGUUAGAGUAUUAGAGUUUCCUGCUCUUUCCUGCUCUUUCUCUAUCUAACAGUAACUACUACCAGACGCCGAAAGCUUUGAGAAGCUUAGAUAUCAGGUAGUGGCUUUUGUCUAUAUAACACAAGUCCUGCAUUGUAAUUUUUCCCAUAGCAGAUCUUUGGCUCAUCAAAUGCAGACCAGUGGCUCUGUAAGCUGCCUCAUUGCCACUGUGUACACGACUGAGCUGUAUGGGCUUUUAGAGCGCACAUGCCUCUAUUGAUUGAUCAACAGAAGACUCUGAUCCUUGUGAUCCUUGUGAGUCUGUAAGCUGCCAGUCUGUCCUGCUGGAACUCAACCCUUUCACUCCCUGGCCUAAAGCUUCUAGCAUUAAAAAGGCACCAAGUGUUGAUUUACUGCAGAUUUAUGGAAGAAGUUUCCUGCGUCAGUGUUUUGAAGCAGUCAAGAUAAACAGUGCGUCAGUCCUUACCACAGUGUCUCGGCUGUUGGUUGCCGUUCCUGUGCAUCUCCCGAUGAUCUUAUCAAUGCAUUUCUUGUGAAUGGCCGCAUUGCAUUCUGGGAAAGAAGCAGAGGGCAAGAGAACAGAGGUUACAUUAGAUGAGGCCAAAAUUACUGAGCAAUUUACACGCACAAACGCACACACACCAGGAAGGAAUAGCCAAAAUGUUUUGAUGUGACUCAGAGGAAGGCCUCAGAACCAGUAGAGACAGCUUAUACUGUAGGUGACGAUAAGCAGCAGACAGAAGAAGGAAGAUGACACAAAGCACUGACAGGUGUGGAAACUAAACAAUUCUGUUUAAUACUUCAACUGAUGUUUGCAUAAUAAUGCAAUGUUUUCUUAUAAUGAUGUUUCCCUCCAUCCAUCC